GUUCAUGGGUUGAGUUGAGUUGA
rnacentral:siRNA from 1 species